GACGAACGCUGGCGGCGUGCUUAACACAUGCAAGUCGAACGGAAAGGCCCUGCUUUUGUGGGGUGCUCGAGUGGCGAACGGGUGAGUAACACGUGAGUAACCUGCCCUUUACUUUGGGAUAACUUCAGGAAACUGGAGCUAAUACCGGAUAGUAGCUCCUGCUGCAUGGUGGGGGUUGGAAAGUUUCGGCGGUUGGGGAUGGACUCGCGGCUUAUCAGCUUGUUGGUGGGGUAGUGGCUUACCAAGGCUUUGACGGGUAGCCGGCCUGAGAGGGUGACCGGCCACAUUGGGACUGAGAUACGGCCAAGACUCAUACGGGAGGCAGCAGUGGGGAAUAUUGCAAAAUGGGCGGAAGGCUGAUGCAGGAACUCCGCGUGCGGGAUGACUGCCUUAGGGUUGUAACCCGCUUUCGCCUGUGAAGAAGAGUGAGUGACGGUAAUGGGUAAAGAAGCACCGGCUAACUACGUG
rnacentral:rRNA from 1 species